UUUGCAGUUGAAUCUAUAUUAUAGUUUGGAGAAAAAGAGGAAGAAGAAAAAAAAAGGAACAGGCCACGCGCGCACGCGUACCGAGGAAACAACAAAAGGCCCCACAGAAGGAAAGCUGCGGCGAAAGAAAAGAAGAAAAAUGUCCACUGUAGCAAAUUAUCAAGAUCUACUCGCCACGCUGUCGCGAAAAAGCACCGUUCUCGAUCAAGCAAGAGCGCCCUUCACACUCGACGAAACCCUCCCGUCGGUCUUGAGACAAUCACAGCUCGGAUCCUUCCAAUUCUACUUUUCAAUGCUUUGCCGUCGUCGAUGAUCCAACGCCAAGCAACAUCCACCGACAACCUUCCUACGCGGCAACGAGCACAAAAAAAGACAAAAAAAAAAAAGAAAGAAAGGAAGAAAAACAAACAAGUCAUUCUCUUUCGUGGGCAUUGCUCGAACAUUAUACUUGCCUCGAUGCAUACCAUGCAACAAAACAACGUCACCGACGUAAAACAGUUCAGUAUCAGCAGUGAUUUUUAUACGCCAACAUAUGUCAACUCGUGCACAUUUGUCGCGCGUUACACGAGGGAAACCCGAGAGGGUGAUUGGUUCAAUUUUGUCAAUCGUGUACGUGCAAGAAGAAACGGUGUUUUAUACAUUUGUCCCCACGUUAAAAAUUGAAGGUGCACGGCCGACGUCGUGCACGCAGAGAGAUGUUUACAAUAGUGAAAAAGAAAAAGAAGGGGGGCUGGAGGACGUAGGACAACGCGCCUGUGUCCUUCACCCCUGUCGUUUUGCCAACAACAACAACAACAGCAACUCAUCGAGGUCACAGCACUUACUUGCUACUUCUUUACCGAUAAUAAUAAUAGUAAUAAUAGUGAUAUAAAUGAAUAGCGAUAAGAGAUAUAGAUAGAGUUUAUAUACCGGAAACACAACCUCGAAAGGGUAAUUGACGUUUGCGCGUUACCGUUAUACGAGACCUAGAAGAGUGAAGAGAGAGAGAGAGAGAGAGAGAGUGUAGUAGAUUAUUUUGGGCUUUAAUAUUAGUGUUUCGAGAGUUAGGCGUGUGACAGUUGAAAGUUUAGUAGUGAUUCGUGUGAAUUCGACCGCCGGUAGAAGUAAUGGAAAGAAGAGACGUUGAGGAGGGAAAAAGAGAGAGAGAGAGAUUCGUGGACGAGCUCGUUUGGCGGGCAAGGUUCGUUUCCGGUCGAUCGACUGGUAUCGAUCAACCGCAACGAUUCACCAAUUUUUACCUCCCCCCGACUUUUCUUACGAAGCUUUUCUCUCUCGUUGGAAACGGGAUGUGAACACGAAUCGAGAUCGAGAUCGAGAUGACAAUGGGGAACGUGUAGGUAUUUUUCAGGGCUGCUGAAAAAUCGUGUAACCGUUUCGGGUCGAGAACGAUCCCGGACCGAGUACGCGGCGGUAAACGAAGGCCUUAUCUUAUACAGUUUGGGCAUUGUUGUUAAUGCGUGACAGGUUCGUCAGGUGAUAUCCGUAUAAGCAGAUAAUAUAUAACUGGUAAGCGUUUUCCUUUUUCUUUUUUUUUUUUUUUAAAGCGUGUGGUGAAUACGCGCGUGAAUCCGUGACUCGAGAAGAGGAACGAAAAAAGAAAAAAAAGUUGGUGAGAAAGAAGCUAGAGUGACUGCGCGCGCGAGAGAGAGAGAGAGAGAGAGAGAGAAAGAGAGGAUUGCUUGAUUCGUUAAUUAGAUAAACGGGAGAGGCAUAAUCUUUUAAUUGGUAGAAGGGUGAUCUUUAUAUACUAAAUAGAAUGAGUGUGAAAGAAGAGUGGGAGGGACAGGUUUAAGAGCGGAGACGCGUUGUUUUUUUUUUUCCCGUUUUUCUCGAAGGAGUCUUAAUAUAUUGUCUAUAAUUAAUCCUAUUGUUGCCAAUAAUGGGCAUUACGAAGAGAGGAGACCGCGCGAAUUGUAUAACUUAUUCUCGACACUGCAUUUACACUUACACCCACCCUCCAAUCCCCCCCCCCGAACUCCCCCCCCCCCCGAAAAGACCUUGAAUGCAUAUAUAGUAAAACACGCAUUAUACAUUAUACACUUGUUGUACAUAGAUAUAUAUAUAUUAUAUUAUAUAUAUAUAUAUAUGUAAAGCUUAAACUUAUUAACGAAAAAAAAAAAAAAAAAGAAUUUAGUCGAUGUGUACCGGAAUAGACACGAGAAAGAGAGAAAAUACGAUUUACUUAUACGAUUUAUAUACGAGAGAGAGAGAGAGAGAGAGAGAGAGAGAAAGCGCAUCAGAGCGUCCCGAGAACAGCUGCGGAAGAAAAGACACACGAAUCCACGAAGUAAACUGAAAUCCGAAACCAGAGCUGUGGAUAAAGGAAAAGGACGAAGAAUGGGCAUCAAAACUGAUUCGUGGCUCUUGACUCGUGACUCGUCUCGGGCUCGGUGGACGAUGAUUUGUUAUUAUACCGAAAUCUGUUAGUUUUUUGUCCUACAUAUUAGCGUUGAAAUAGAAUGGAAAUAGUAGAAA